CGCCGCCUCACUGCGGUAUAAAGUCGUCCCAUCCUAAAUGGCCGGUGCGCAGACUCAAUUGCGACAUUUAGGCUAUCAGCCGCCACCCGGCAACAUUUCAGACAACAGGAUUCUGGGUUUCUCAAAGCUGUAAUAGGAGGGCCACCCCAGCACUUCCUACCUGCCUCAUGGGAAGGUCUCAGGCUGAGUCUGUAUGUGCCUGCAGUAAGAAGCCAGCGGUAUGCAUAAGAUUGCCCAGGGGUAGUGGCUGGGUACCCACAGCGUUCACUACAGUCCAGCCUUGAAUACCACCUAAUGCAGUGUUCUGCAUAUCACAGAGUUUUGCUCUUGUUGCCCAGACUGGAGUGCAGUGAUCUUGGCUCACCACAACCUCCGGCUCCCAGUUUGAUUUUCCUGGGUGAAGUGAGAUAUAGACCAGCAGAUACAGGCAUCUAAGUGAACUCAUCAGUCACCAGCAACAAUUUUCUGAAACUUCCUGACCUCCAGAUUGCAGCUUCAUUGAUACAGACUAUCGCUCUGUUGCCAAGACUGGAGUGCAGUGGCAAUCUCAGCUCACUGCAACCUCCACCUCCCAGGAUCAAGCAAUUCUCCUGUCUCAGCCUCUCAAGUAGCUGGGAUUAUAGGCACCUACCAUCAUGCCCAGGUAAUUUUUUUUUUUGUUUUAGAAGUGACAGGGUUUUACCAUAUUGGUCAGGCUGGUUUCAAACUCCAGAGUGAUCCACCUGCCUUGGCCUCCCAAAGUGCUGGCAUUACAGGCAUGAGUCACCAUAGCUGGCCUCAGUCAUUCUUUAAUUGCAAAACUUUAUUUGUUCAUAAGAAACAGACACAGAGGAAUAUACACACAUGAAUAAAGCUCCAUCACAGAUAUGGAAGACAAGAAGAGAAGGAUGUGGGAGGCCUUACUUUGGGAAGGUGAGGCAGGCAGAUCACGAGGUCAGGAGUUCAAGACCAGCCUGACCAACAUGGUGAAACACUAUCUCUACUAAAAAUACAAAAAUUAGCUGGGCAUGGUGGUGCGCACCUGUAAUCCCAGCUUCUCAGGAGGCUGAGGCAGGAGAAUAGCUUGAGGUUGCAGUGAGCCAAGAUUGUGCCACUGCACUAUAGCCUGGCAACAGACUGAGACUCCAUCUCAAAAAAAAAAAAAUAUAUGCACUGUGCUAAAGCUAAGAUUACACAAGUAUCUCAAUCUAAAGGCUAUUAAUGAGGCAAUAGGGAAGAGAAGAGGGA